UAACACCCCUACACAAUUAUCGCCGGAUAAUUGUACGAAUCCGGGUUCCCGAAUGCGUUUAUUUCGACACCGGAACCCACCGUCGCUCACCCAUCAUCACCGAACCCACAAUGUGAUGAUGGUGACCAGCCAACAAGGCUUAGCGACUACUCACAGAGCAACCAAACAACGUCGGAAGAAAUCCGAACCGAAACCGCGUUCUUUCGGCGAAUUUCGCCGAAAAACGCACCAAAAUCGACUCUUCGAUUUCCGCGAAAACUACAAGAUCAUGGACAAUCAGUCCAGA
rnacentral:lncRNA from 1 species